AAAUUAAAAUACAAUUUUUAUUACUCUAGCUUAUGUUUUACAUUUAAAUUUUUCUAAAUCUUUCCUCCCUCCAGCCCUUCACAUUUCCCCCCUUUUCCAAACCUGCGAAACUUUCAUUUUUUCCCCCUCAAAUUUCCCCUUUUUCUCCGUAGCACCUCUCAUCUUUUCCCUAAAUGUUUCAUGCAACCAUUUGAUUUCUCCUGUAACGCAGCUCGUCCUCAUUUCUUCUCAACGAACGCAACUCCCACAACGUAGCUCAUCCUUGCAACGAACGCAGCUCCCGCACCGCUGCUCAUCAUCAUUUUGUGAUCUCUGUCUUCAGUUAGGGUUUAUCUGUGUCUUUGUUGCAGUCGUUUUUGUCGUUACAGUCGCUGUUGCCGUUGCAGUCGCCGAUUCGUUCUGAGUUGUGGUGGUCGUUGAGUCCUUUGUUGCGGUGGUAGCCGUUGUGUCCUCAGUUAAAGUCGUUGUUGAGUUACCUCGUUCCCCCAUUUUCAAAGAUGUUGAAGAUUCAAACAGACUCUGAGGAUAAAAACUUAUCACUCAGGGUUGAUGCUGUGGUAUUAUCUCUGAAUACUCUCCCCCUUCUUCCGUUUCCUCUUGAAAGGUUCGAGACCUCAAAAUAACACCUCGUGUGCUAGUUGGUCAUAGUUUUGGGGGGAAAGGUUAGUCAUUGAUUGUUUGAUUAAGUUAAUUUUUAAGUGCCUUUUUUUCAGUAUAGAUUUAUCCAUUUUUCAUUUGUUUUGAGCGUGGUGGACCAAGCUGCAAAGCCCCUUGCUCGACCAGUUAGAGUAUGUUCAAACUCCAUUCGUGUUUGCUUUUGCUUAAUGAAGUAAGUGAAGCUUAUUGAUGAAUGGAUGUUAGACUAUGCAUGGAUGUAACUUAUACACUAUUAUGAAAUAGAUAACUCAUUCCAUUAAUGAUAUAUGAAAUGGUAUUCUUGCCUUUGUGGAGUCAAGUUACUAUUAUGCACUUCUUGGAUGCCAAAUGAACUCACCUUGUUAGGCUUCCACACUAACUCUGUUUUCACUUUUCCUUCAUCCAUUAUCUUUUUGGUGCCUAAAGCUAGGUAACUGUAGUUAUAUAUAGUUACUUAUCAUAAUAUUUCUGUAGGUGAUUGCUGAAAGGUUUGAGAGAAAUGUUUCAGGCUAUGGACAUUGAUAACAGUGGUGCAAUCACUUUUGAUGAACUCAAAACUAGUCUAAGAAGAUAUGGUUUUACCAUUAAAGAUGUAGAAAUACAUGAUCUGACGGAAGCGGUAGGUUGUUGGUUUGGUUUGUGAGGAAAGUUUUUUUUUUUUAUUUUUAUUUAGUGUUUAUACGUCCAUUUUAUUUGGAUAUAUUCUUUUUCGAAUAUAAUAUUGUAUUCUUUGCUUUCAAUAUAGUAUUGUAUUCUUUUUCGAAUAUAAUACUGUAUUCAUUACUUCAACGUCUCUUAUGUUUGUACUGUAUUCUUUGUCAUCCACUUUGUUACAUGAUUAUUCUUAAAGGACAGGACCAUGGUUUGCAAAGAGGUUUAGAAUGUUUAAAAAAUAUCAGCCUUCUUAAAAUUAUAUUAAUUUAUUAUUAGUAAACUAUAUAAUGAUUAUUAUUGGUAAACUUUACAAUGAUUGUUAUUAUAUGUUUAAAUGACAAAUAGUGUGCCAAAUUUGAUCAAAUGAUAUUCUUGAAGGCAUAUAAGUGUUUUUGUUACUUCUUUUGCUACACAUGAAUAAUUGUUUUUGGUUUUACAUAUCUAGAUGACAUUUUUAGUUACCUUUUGAAACCUUUCUCCUCCAUUGUGAGUUUUUCCUGUAUUAAUUUUCUUAAAAUUGAUGUAACUUUUACAGCAUUCAAUAGCCAUAUUCCUUUCUUGAGUUACAACGCCUGUUGAGAAGAUUAUAGAUCAACCCGUUGAUUUUUAUUCUCCCACCCACUCACAAGUAAGUUUCUUCAUUCUAAGUUUUAGUUUAACUUCUAUACUUUGUCACUAUAAAUCCAUUGGUUAUCUUAACAAAUUCAUUUUUUUGGUUUCUCACUAUUGUUGCUUUCUAAUACUGCAAAAUUGUAUGACUAUAAUUAUCAUUAUUUAUUAUAUUAAUUUUUGUUUUAUUAUUUCAGCAAGUUGGUGAUUCAAAUGAAUCCAAGUCUCUUUUAAGUACAAGACAAUCAUACAGUGGAAGUAACAUUUAGGAAGUUGUGAUAUUUUUUUAGGAUAAAACUAUAUUUAGAUUAUUAUGAAUUUUGAGUACUUAUUGAUUAAGUUGUAAAG